rnacentral:rRNA from 1 species
UCAACCUGAGAGUUUGAUCCUGGCUCAGAGCGAACGCUGGCGGCAGGCCUAACACAUGCAAGUCGAACGGACCUUUCGGGGUUAGUGGCGGACGGGUGAGUA